rnacentral:lncRNA from 1 species
AUGGGCAUUUCAAAAAGCAGAAUGAAAAAAGUCGCACCUGUGUCAGUGGCAGAGGAAACCGUCAGUAACAGCGGCAUUCACCGGGAUGAAAGUCAUUUGUUUGGUCCCUCAAACAGCAAAGCUUCAGAUCUGCGUGUGUCCGUCAGAAGGAGAGUCCAGGCAGACUGGAAGAGUGAGGGACAGGACUCAGCCGAGGAUCUCGCUGAGGAAUCUUUAGGGCUUUACUACUACGCCAAAGGCCAAGACUGCAACAACGUUUACAGUUUCAGCACACGUGACAACAAUGAAAUGAACACAGUGAACAUACCAACUUCCAUUCAUAAAAAGGUAGGGCCUCAACAAGACAACACAGAGAGCACAGCAACAGCUCCAGGUUCUGGAAUUAGUGGUUCAUCUGUGGCCUUGCCUAUCAUGUAUGAUGCUUCAGAAGAGGACCUCAUGAACACAAUCGAGAGGGAGUUUGGUUAA